GGAAGGAUCAUUAGAGGUUGACUUCUUUUUUUUGUUGGUUUGUUAAACCUUUUCCCCCGGUCCAGUUCAGGAAAGGAGAGAAAGAGAGGGAGUUGAGAGAGAGAGACAACAGUGCCUAAAAAACACUGUCCUCAAUCUCUCUUCCCUCUUCUUCUCCUCCUUUGAGGGGGGAUUGGGCUUGGCUUUGGAUUCCACCUUUUUCUUUUCCUCUCGGGGAUUGUGUUCAAGUUGGUAAUCUGGAGCAGAGUCGAACUUUUUUUUGAACUGGCGACGCGAAUGGGUGGCUUACUCGACCCCCUCUCCUUUGUGGGAGGGACGAGUGAGUCUCUGACUCGUCGUAAAUUGUCCUUACCCAUAUUUAUUUUUACCUUUACCUAUCCCAAUUUUUCCUAGUACAAUAAGUUAAAAUACAACUCUUAACGGUGGAUGACUCGGCUUCCGUGUCGAUGAAGAACGUAGCAAACUGCGAUAAGUGAUGGAAAUUGCAGAAUACUUCGACUCAUCGAAUCUUUGAACGCAACCUGCGCCCGGGGGUCCCCCCUCGGGCGUGCUUGUUUGAGCUCGGUUUCCCAUCUCAACAAUCGACAAACUACCCUUUUUUUUUAAAAAGAGUACGCGUCGGAUAUUGAGAGUUUACUCCCCCCGCGCCCCUCCGUUAGCUCGGAGAAGUGUGGGGAGUUGGGUAAUCUCUUUAAAUUCAGCCUUAGGUUCAAAGAGGUAAACAGACGCUCUUCCCCCUUUUUUUUCUCCCUUCUUAGGGACAAAAAGGAGGAGGCGCCGUUUCCGAAAGGCCUGAUUGAUGUACUUCAAUCCGGCACUUUCUGUAACCCUCCCCGAGUGGUUAAAAAGGAGCUUCGGCUUUUUUUCGAUCUUGCUUGGUGUUUUGGGGGUUGCUGUAAAGAAGGAGGCGCGCGUUAAAAAAGGAGCUUCGCCUUUUACCUUUCUUUCUGAUCCUAUUAAUGAAGAGCAACUUUGGCCUUAGAGGGAUAGAGAGAGACCUCUCUCUCAACCCCCUUUAAAUACCCUUAGUUGAAAAACCUCGGUAAAUUUUUUUCACCGACUCAAAUCAAGCACGAUUACCCGCUGAAUUUAAGCAUAUAAUUAGGCGGAGGAAAAGAAAAUAACAAUGAUUCCCCCAGUAAUGGCGAAUGAAGAGGGAAAAGCUCAUCCUGAACCUGUGGGGAUUUACUUCCUCACCGGAAUGUAGGGUGUCGACCGGCCUUAGUGAGUCACUGUCUCCCACAGAAGUUCCUUGGAAGAGGACACCAUAGAGGGUGAGAGUCCCGUAUGUGAUCAAGUGGGAUGGUGGCUUACGACCUUAGGUUGGAUCGUAGAGUCGAGUUGUUUGGGAGUACAACUCUAAUCGGGUGAUAAACUUCACCUAAAGCUAAAUAUCAACGGAAGACCGAUAGCGAACAAGUACCGCGAGGGAAAGUUGAAAAGAACUUUGAAAAGAGAGUUAAAUAGUACCUGAAACCGUUAGGAGGUAAGCGAUCGGCACCAUCGUCUAUGUAUGCCUCUGGCUAUUCAAUCUUCUGCCGUGUAGGACCGGGUGUCCGGAGUCAGUCUUCGGAUUGGCCUGUGGCGUUCGGUCCGAAGCGGUGGUGGGUGCACUUAGUCAGGGGUUUUAUUUUUCAGAGUCACUCAGAAAGGGGGGAAAGCCCUUUUAAAAAGGUGUUCUCGGUGUGGUACAUGGUCGCUGAUCAUGGAACGCCGGGGCUGUUUGCCUACUCUCCGUCUGAGUGAGGGUCUCGAAAGAGGCAGGAGUGGGGGUAUUCUUGGUGAGGGAUUAUGUCUAAUGGCUGUAACCCAAGUCCGGAACCCGCUCUCGAUCUCUGAACUUUUAGAUGGAAUCGAUCGUCCCGUCUUGAAACACGGACCAAGGAGUGCACUUGAUGGGCGAGUCUUAGGGUGGUUAAAACCCGAGGGCGAAAUGAAAGUAAACACACACCUGAAGCCUCUCAAGAGGAACUGCAAGGUGGGCCCAUAGUGUCUUACGAGGCAUUAUUGGAGCAAGAGCCUAUCGCGUGCGACCCGAAAGGUGGCGAACUAUGCCUGUGUAGAAUGAAGCCAGAAGAAAUUCUGGUGGAGGUUCGUAGCGGUAUUGACGUGCAAAUCAUUCGUCAAACAUGGGUAUAGCGGCGAAAGACUAAUCGAGCCGCCUAGUAGCUGGUUCCCUC
rnacentral:misc_RNA from 1 species